AGAAAAGGAGGAGGAUUCAUCCGGGUGUCGAGCAGCAAGUUCCGCUCUGAGACUGAGCAGUCUUGAAGGUUUCUGUGUGAUGUACUCUGAACUCUGCUACUGGGUACUGUGAGGGACGCUCUGAAGUCGCGACAUGGAUGCAGUGACCUACGAUGAAGUGCAUGUGAACUUCACUCAGGAAGAGUGGGCUUUGCUGGAUCAUUCCCAGAAAAGUCUCUACAGAGAUGUGAUGCUGGAGACUUACAAGAACCUGACUGCUAUAGGCUACAACUGGGACGACCAUAAUAUUGAAGAACAUUGUCAAAGUUCCAGAAGACAUGGAAGCAGGUCAGCAUUUUCUAAAUCUCCCCCAAAUACUACCAACUGAAAAGGAUUGACUUUUCUGACUUCAAGCUUACAUGCUGGCUUUCUGUUACACGAGCCAAUUCAUGAUGAAGAGAAACUCUAGGAGAAUGUUCUCUCUGCCAAGGUCAGUGACUCCAUGAUAAUUAGAAAUGGCAUGAUUCCAGGAAGCAAAAAUGUCUCUGGUGAUCCUCACCAAUAUGGUGAUACUGUGACCUUCAGGACCCCUUAAGACUGUGGGAAAGAACUCUGAAAACAUGAGUUCAACAGAUGUUCAAGAAUAUAUAAGUCAGUGUAAGAGCUGUCCUUUACAGGAUUUCUCAACUAUGCAAAAUAUAAAGAUGCAAUAUAAAUUGUAUGAGGGGCUUCACAAACCUGAAAGAACAGAGAUAGCCGCACUAAUGAAUGAGCUCUGUCAGAAAGAUACUAAAGAAGAAGACAAUGAUUUGGUCAAUAGACAAACAAAAACAAAAACAAAAACAAAGCAAAACAAAGCAAAAAACCCUGGAUCACAAAAGAGAAAGGAAUAGUUAAAAAUAAGGAUCAGAUAAUAGUGGAAAAUGGUUAUCUCCUCCACAGAAGAUAUCAACAACUAAAUUUGAUCCCGAUAUUUUACUUCCUAAGGGAGGUAGUUAUAUGUGCAAUCCAAAUAGAGGUUGGGGACAGGCAAAAGUCUGGUGUCAAGAAAAAAGAUGAUGGCUUGAUAAUAUUUCUACUGUUGAGCAUCACUUAAUAAUAAGCCUUGGAGUUCCUGAGAUAAAGAAGAAAAAAAAUCCAAAGAUUAAAAAGAAUAUAUUGAGGUAGCUAAGAACUAUAAAAAUGAGCUUCAAUGCUGCUUAUAUCAGCAUAAGCAAGAGCUCUCUAAAUUGAAAAAAAUAAAAAGCAUGAUACUUAAAGUUAACUUCUUCACACAAAACAGCCUCUAUGUCUAGACUUCUCAGCCACAUGCACUGUGUCCAGUGAACCAUAUAGGACUUGCUAGUUAAAAAAAAUGUGCUUGCUGUCUGGUUCAUUUGCUUUGAAUAUGCUCUAUAUUUCAGUUUCUAUUUCUAAGAGUCAAGGGAAUAAGGUCAUAAAAUACUGAUUUAUGGAAUGAUCAAAAGAGAACCUGGGUUAAAUGAUUAAACAGUUACUAAGGAAGUAGCUUAUGCAAAUAAGAAAGUGGCCCUGGUUUGCAAGAGCUAUUUCAAGCAGAUUAGAGUUGUCUUUGGUCUGCAAGAGAGCUAUCUUGAGCAGAUUACAGAGCUGUCAGCUGGCAUCCAUCACUGUCUCCAAGUUAUUCUUUCACUGUUCCCAUUCACCUCCUCUCUCCUGCUGAGGCUGGACCUCAGCAAGAGGCCAGGGAAGACCACUGGUGAAGGUGCAGUUGACAGCACAGGACUGAAGGGGUCAUGCAAAGAAGUUCUUGGUAUCAUGAAGAGAGCCUAUGAGAGGCUAUUGAUGAAGCCUACUAGUUGCAGCAGAAGGCAUCAGCAUAUCAGAGAUGUCAGUACCAUGGGAUGACCACCAAGAACAGCACUGGAAUGGAUCUACCUAAACCUGGAGUUCUACAACAGGACAGAGUUGGAGAAAUGACCCAAGCCCUUUGGAGGAGCCCAGAAGACCAUGUGUAGAUCCCAGACACUGGAACAAGAAGCUGUAAAGUUAACGUUGCCAUGGAUACCCCUAGAUGUUAAAGCUGUGGGAGCCAUGGGAUACCUGCCAUGGAAAGUUGCUAGCAGGGAGUGGAACCAGCCCUUGAAAAAGAAAUUUGUUGCAGUCAACAAAGCUGAAAGGAGUGGAUAUCAGACAUGGAGGUGCAGUUCAGAAUUAGCCCAGAUGGUUUUCUGUUUUGCUUUGAUCCAAUAUUUCCUCACUAUGACAUUUUGGAAUGGUAGUGCAUAUCCUGUGCCAUAUAGGAAAUAUGUGAUCUGCACUUUGGUUUUAUGAGGUAUUACAGUUAGGAGAUUGCAAGAGUCUCAAGAGAGACUUUGAAAUUUGGAUUUUUUUCAACAUUGUUGAGAAAACUGUAGACUAUGGGUACUUUUGAAGUUGGACUAAAUGUAUUUUGCAUUAUCCUAUGUUUACUUCUGCCCCCCACGCAUGGGUUUGAACAAGCCUAUGGGGAUGAGGGAGUAGAAUGUGAUGGUUUAAAUAUGCUUGGCUCAUGGGAAGUGGCACUAUUAGUAGGUGUGACCUUGUUGGAGUAAGUGUGGCCAUGUUGGAGGAAAUGCAUCACUGUGGGCACAGGCUUUGAAACUCCACCCAGUGUGGAAAGUCUCUUCCUGGCUACCUUCAGAUCAAGAUAUAGAACCCUUGGCUCCUCUAGCCCUAUGUCUGCCUACGCAUGUCCAUGCUUCUUGCUAUGAUGAUAAUGGACUCAACCUCUGAAACUGUAAGGCAGCCCUAAUUAAAUUUGUUGUCUUUUGUAA
rnacentral:lncRNA from 1 species